rnacentral:rRNA from 1 species
ACUCCUGACUGACCGAUAGUGAACCAGUACCGUGAGGGAAAGGCGAAAAGAACCCCGGCGAGGGGAGUGAAAAAGAACCUGAAACCGUGUACGUACAAGCAGUGGGAGCACGCUUAGGCGUGUGACUGCGUACCUUUUGUAUAAUGGGUCAGCGACUUAUAUUCUGUAGCAAGGUUAACCGAAUAGGGGAGCCGAAGGGAAACCGAGUCUUAACUGGGCGUUAAGUUGCAGGGUAUAGACCCGAAACCCGGUGAUCUAGCCAUGGGCAGGUUGAAGGUUGGGUAACACUAACUGGAGGACCGAACCGACUAAUGUUGAAAAAUUAGCGGAUGACUUGUGGCUGGGGGUGAAAGGCCAAUCAAACCGGGAGAUAGCUGGUUCUCCCCGAAAGCUAUUUAGGUAGCGCCUCGUGAAUUCAUCUCCGGGGGUAGAGCACUGUUUCGGCAAGGGGGUCAUCCCGACUUACCAACCCGAUGCAAACUGCGAAUACCGGAGAAUGUUAUCACGGGAGACACACGGCGGGUGCUAACGUCCGUCGUGAAGAGGGAAACAACCCAGACCGCCAGCUAAGGUCCCAAAGUCAUGGUUAAGUGGGAAACGAUGUGGGAAGGCCCAGACAGCCAGGAUGUUGGCUUAGAAGCAGCCAUCAUUUAAAGAAAGCGUAAUAGCUCACUGGUCGAGUCGGCCUGCGCGGAAGAUGUAACGGGGCUAAACCAUGCACCGAAGCUGCGGCAGCGACGCUUAUGCGUUGUUGGGUAGGGGAGCGUUCUGUAAGCCUGCGAAGGUGUGCUGUGAGGCAUGCUGGAGGUAUCAGAAGUGCGAAUGCUGACAUAAGUAACGAUAAAGCGGGUGAAAAGCCCGCUCGCCGGAAGACCAAGGGUUCCUGUCCAACGUUAAUCGGGGCAGGGUGAGUCGACCCCUAAGGCGAGGCCGAAAGGCGUAGUCGAUGGGAAACAGGUUAAUAUUCCUGUACUUGGUGUUACUGCGAAGGGGGGACGGAGAAGGCUAUGUUGGCCGGGCGACGGUUGUCCCGGUUUAAGCGUGUAGGCUGGU